GUGCUCGCUUUGGCAGCACAUAUAGCAAAACUGGAAUGAUACAGAGAAGAUUAGCAUGGCCCUUCUACAAGAAAUUCAUGAGGCAGUCCAUAUUUUU
rnacentral:snRNA from 1 species